UACGAAGGGGGCUAGCGUUGUUCGGAUUUACUGGGCGUAAAGCGCACGUAGGCGGAUCGAUCAGUCAGGGGUGAAAUCCCAGGGCUCAACCCUGGAACUGCCUUUGAUACUGUCGAUCUGGAGUAUGGAAGAGGUGAGUGGAAUUCCGAGUGUAGAGGUGAAAUUCGUAGAUAUUCGGAGGAACACCAGUGGCGAAGGCGGCUC
rnacentral:rRNA from 1 species